rnacentral:rRNA from 1 species
CAGUAGCCGCGGUAAUACGUAGGUGGCAAGCGUUGUCCGGAAUUAUUGGGCGUAAAGGGCUUGCAGGCGGUUUCUUAAGUCUGAUGUGAAAGCCCCCGGCUCAACCGGGGAGGGUCAUUGGAAACUGGGAAACUUGAGUGCAGAAGAGGAGAGUGGAAUUCCACGUGUAGCGGUGAAAUGCGUAGAGAUGUGGAGGAACACCAGUGGCGAAGGCGACUCUCUGGUCUGUAACUGACGCUGAGGAGCGAAAGCGUGGGGAGCGAACAGGAUUAGAUACCCGGGUAGUCCCUGUCUCUUAUAC